UACAGAGGUCUCAAGCGUUGUUCGGAUUCAUUGGGCGUAAAGGGUGCGUAGGCGGCGCGGUAAGUCGGGUGUGAAAUCUCGGAGCUUAACUCCGAAACUGCAUUCGAUACUGCCGUGCUUGAGGACUGGAGAGGAGACGUGGAAUUUGACGGUGUAGCGGUGAAAUGCGUAGAGAUCCGGAGGAACCCCAGAGGCGAAGGCGGCGUCCUGGCUCGCAUCUGACGCUCGAGACACGACAGCAUGGGGAGCGAACGGG
rnacentral:rRNA from 1 species